UCCUACGGGAGGCAGCAGUGAGGAAUAUUGGACAAUGGGCGCAAGCCUGAUCCAGCCAUGCCGCGUGCAGGAUGACGGUCCUAUGGAUUGUAAACUGCUUUUGUACAGGAAGAAACACUCGGACGUGUCCGAGCUUGACGGUACUGUAAGAAUAAGGAUCGGCUAACUCCGUGCCAGCAGCCGCGGUAAUAAU
rnacentral:rRNA from 1 species